GCCCUCGAGGAUCAUGGUGAUCGUCCCGUUGCAAUAAGGCGUAGGUCUGUGAACCGGGGAGACGGUGGUUCGAUUCCACCCGAGGCCG